GCAUGGUAUAUCUUUCCAACUAUUUGUGUCAUCUUUGAUUUCUUUCAUCAGUGGCUUGUAGUUUUCAGAGUACAGGUCUUUUGUUUCUUUAGUUAGGUUUACUCCUAGGAUCAAUCAGUUAACUUAAAGGAGAACAUUCUUAAGGCAGGAGACUGGAGCCAGGUGGGUUACAUUCUUCUUUCUUGCUGGUUUGACGGGGAGGAAGGAGAUGGGUUUGUGCAGACUCUGCUUGUGGGAGAGGGAGAAAAAGAAUGUCUCCAGGUUCCCGGGAUGUGCCCUGGGAGGCAAAGUCUCAACUCAGGCGCAAUGGGGAGUCAACACUGCCUUUGGCGGAAGCUUCUCCCAUUACACUUUCGGAUAUGCAUGGAUUUUUGUAAUGGAUUUUAAACGUGUGUAACAUUUUAAAAUGUGCUUUUUCUCUAUUUGUAUUACCUUUUGUAUAGCAGUUUUAAAGGAACCAACUAUUAGAGUGAGGUAUCUACUUGGGCGAUCCAUUUAUUUCCCGUAUAUUAUAUAUUUGCAUACGUAUAUAUUUCUACUAUUGCAACUGGAAGGAUUUGUUCCUACUGGUUGUACCUUGUUUCAUAAUGGGGGAGAUUUUCACUCUUUCGAUAUGCAUGAUGGAUACCAGUUUGUUCUCAUUCUCUUCCUACACUACUUUUUCCUGAGAUUCUUGGUUCUGUCGGUUUUGUAGAGGUGGAAAAAAUGGCCAUAGUGGUAGAAAUUUGGGGAUGCCUGCAAACGGCCUUCACCCACCAUGGUCCAGGUGUCUGGGCAGCCUCAGCACCGGCCUCCCAGGCCACAGUGCAAUUGGCAGGAGGUUGGUCAGUUCUCUUCUCACCGUAGAUUCUUUCUCACGAUUGAUUGUGAGCAGUGGAGGACCUACCCUCGCGCGGCCCGGGCAUCGCGCCAUAGACAUGCGCCCAGCUAAGUCAGACUUUGUAAGCCUGGGGGGCGGGGGUCGGACCGCCUACUAGGGGGAGAAAUACCGCCACUUCGAGCCGCGGGCCCCAGUGGCCUAAUGGAUAAGGCACUGGCCUCCUAAGCCAGGGAUUGUGGGUUCGAGUCCCACCUGGGGUAAGGUUGCCUUUUUGCCGUUUUAGGCCUGGGGAAUCCUUAUGCUGUGGUCCCUUCGCGUUCGACUUCGGUGCACUGGGCUCGGCCUGCAGGCGGAAGACAGGUUCUGCAAGCAGAGACCCCCCCAAGUCAGUAACCACAUGCCGGCGCCUCUGGAAGCUUCUACCUUUUGGACAGCUCAUAGGCGGAGGGUAAAGAGAAGGACCAAGACGGACACUGAGCCUAGAGCUGGAACUACCUGAUUACAAAUGAGACCCCUCUAAACUGUACGGCGGAAGGACAUUUAUACUCAAGAGACAAAGCACAGCAAAGGAGAUCCCUGCUGCUACUCACCCUGCCGUUACACCUGCAACUUGGACCGUCUGUUCUCGUGACUUACUAAUGGACAGGAAGCACUCUAGGAACCCGUGGUUUGGAAGCAAAGGGAAAGUUCAAGGGAAUCAGUAGCUAAUGCUUCAUCUUUACCGUGUUCCAGUGAAAUACACUGUGAGCGGCCCCGCUAGCAUGUGUUAAGAUUUCAGCGGCCCUGGAGGCUCAGUAAUUGUCUCCUUCAUUUCCCAACCACUAAACAGCGGGCCCAGCACACACCUGGAGGCUCACCUGUCCAUCUGAACAAAAACUCCACUCCCAGUGAGGUCACCUCAGAGUUUUAACUCUCUCGACCGCAAAGGAGCAGACACACACAGCACUAUGUAAUUAUUUUUAAUGUCCGGAGUUUGUAAUUCGAGGGCCAGAGCUUUCUCCAAGAUGCAAGUUUAUAAACUCUCAAUUGGCCUGUGAGGCCAGUAGGGAUACUUCUUCUUGUCUAGUUUGGUUUCUGGGAAGACUUCAUUCAAGUCCUCGAUUGUCAUCUGAU